UGUUUUCAUCAUUGCUGCUUUUGGAGUCACAGUUUACAUAAAGAAGAAAACUCCUGACAACAGCUCUGAAGUCUCCAUGAAACUGAAUCCUGAAGCCUGAAUGAAAUAAACACACCAUCCUGCAUACAGUGAUUUGCUACACAGACGACAAAACAAUUUAUCUUGUGACCCUUUGGAGGCACCUGACCCCUAGGUUGAGAACCACUGGGCUAGAGGGUAGAGCCCUGAAAGUACAUUAUUAAUG